CGGGGCCGGGCGCGGUGGCUCACGCCUGUAAUCCCAGCAUUUUGGGAAGUCGAGGCGGACGGAUUACUUGAGGUCAUGAGUUCGAGACCAGCGUGGCCAACACGCAAAGAUAUCCAGACGCUGUAUGCAGGAAGAACUGAAUUUCAGAGGACACCGUUUGAUCUUCAACACCUGGCAGUUUACAAAACAGAGACGGGGUGUCGCCAUGUUGCCCAGGCUGGUCUCGAACUCCGGAGCUCAAGCGAUCUGCCUGCCUCGGCCUUUCAAAGUGCUGAGACUACAGCCUGAAGAGGAGAGGGGGAAUCCUGGUGAGAAGCAUUUGGAAUUCAAGCUCAGAGAAGAAGACACGGUAUUUCUGGCUGAAUCACAUUUCCUGCAUACCUGCACACUCCUACUCACCUUUCAAGGCACAGUUCUAAUGCCUUUCCCCCCUGCCAGGUGCUACUCUGCCUUCCUUUUAGUGAUUUCUCUGGGUUACCAAAGGUCUUGCAUAUUUCUCUAUUAAAGCAUUGA